ACGAGCGUAUCACAGGGACUGUAGAAAGACAUUCCCGUGUCAUACAAAAGCCACUCGACUUCCCGCGAAGUGAAAUUCUUGUGUCAUACCGGCCGCCAGACCAAGUAUUGGAUAAGUACUCUACACUAGAGGACAGUGGAAAUCCUGCAGAUGAAGAUUUCAUUCCAGACCUUCCUGUGGAGGAAGAGGAGUCCUUAAAAAUGAACCAAACAGGAAGAAGGCCCCAACUUUAAACCGUCACAAGUGGAGUUUAACAGAACUAGAUGACCUCAGGCACAUUUUCAGGGCUUUCUUCAAAAAUGACAACACACCAGGGCAAAAAGCUAUUGAAGAGGGGGAAGAGACCAGCGAAAGAAAAAGAGGAAAAAUCUGACGGUUAGAAGACAUCCAAAAUAAAGAAGAAAAUCUCUUGGCUCAGACUCCAUCCAGCAGAUUAGGCAAACUAAAUAUGCUGGUUUUCUGCUACCCUGUACCCUGUUGUUUUUCGUGCCGACCCGAAAACUUUUUCUGGUUUUCUAUGUGUUGUCUGCAGAUUAUAAAAAAAAGUUGACUAUUUUGAAAUCAACGGAUGCAAAGUUUAAAUCACCAUUAUCAGUGUUUUAUUGAUGCUUUUAUAAAAUUCUGCCAUUCACCUUUUUGAUAGUAACAAUUUUUAAACACUGACAAAUGCUUGACAACCCUAGGGUAAGGGUGUAUUGACAACCCUAGGGUAAGGGUGUAUUGACAACCCUAGGGUAAGGGUGUAUUGACAACCCUAGGGAAAGGGUGUUUUGACAACCCUAGGGUAAGGGUGUAUUGACAACCCUAGGGUAAGGGUGUAUUGACAACCCUAGGGAAAGGGUGUUUUGACAACCCUAGGGUAAGGGUUUAUUGACACCCCUAGGGUAAGGGUGUAUUGACACCCCUAGGGUAAGGGUGUAUUGACAACCCUAGGGUAAGGGUUUAUUGACACCCCUAGGGUAAGGUUUUAUUAUCCCUAGGGUCACGGUUUAUUGACACCCCUAGGG